rnacentral:SRP_RNA from 1 species
GGGUAAGUCUUGUACGACCAGCUCCCUUUGAAUUUCCCCAGGUCUUGACCGAAGCAAGGAUAAAAAGGUUGUAGCGGUGCGAUAUGAGUAGCUUACCCUUU